GACGUAGGGCGCGAGCGUUUGUCCGGAUUUAUUGGGCGUAAAGAGCUCGUAGGCGGCUUGUUGCGUCGAAUGUGAAAACCCGGGGCUCAACCCCGGGCCUGCAUUCGAUACGGGCAGACUAGAGUUCGGUAGGGGAGUCUGGAAUUCCUGGUGUAGCGGUGAAAUGCGCAGAUAUCAGGAGGAACACCGGUGGCGAAGGCGGGACUCUGGGCCGAUACUGACGCUGAGGAGCGAAAGCGUGGGGAGCAAACAGG
rnacentral:rRNA from 1 species